rnacentral:rRNA from 1 species
UACGGAGGAUGCAAGCGUUGUUCGGAAUCACUGGGCUUAAAGCGCGUGUAGGUGGAAUGAAAGGCGCCUUGGUGAAAUCCCCCGGCUCAACCGGGGAACUGCCGGGCGAACCAUCAUUCUUGAGGCAGGUAGAGGUGGCCGGAACGACAGGUGGAGCGGUGAAAUGCGUAGAUAUCUGUUGGAACGCCGGCGGCGAAAGCGGGCCACUGGGCCUGUCCUGACACUGAGACGCGAAAGCGUGGGGAGCAAA